rnacentral:rRNA from 1 species
AAACUUUCAACAAAGGAUCUCUUGGCUCUCGCAUCGAUGAAGAACGCAGCGAAGCGCGAAAUGUAGUGUGAAUCGCAGAACAUUGUGAACCAUCGAAUCUUUGAACGCACAUUGCGCCCCCCUUUAGGGGAGGCAUGCCUGUCUGAGCGUCACUU